AACCCUGAUACGAUGUCUCUUUGUGAGCAUACUUUGACAUUUGGAGUGUCGCUGAUUUGAUUUGUCAUCAUUGGACAUGACAGAUGAUUCAAGGAACCCUUGGGUUGGAGAGAUGACUCAGCGGUUAAGAACACUAGCUGUUCUUCCAGAGGAUCCAAGUUCAAAUCCCAGCGCUAACAUGGUUGCUCACAACCACCCACAACUCCAGUUGCAGAGUAUCUGACAUCUCACUCUGUCCUCUGCAGUUACCAGUGCUCUUCACCCAGCCCAGAAGACCCUUAGCCAAUCUCAAAAGGAAGAAUUUUAUCUGGUAAGAGGAGAUCCUUUAGAGAAGAAAUUUCUGAUUUAUUGGAAAGACGUCAUCAAAACUAUCCCCAGGAACUGCUUUUUCCUGAAGAAUUACCAAGAAGGUAAUAAGGAUUUUUUUCAAACAUAAUUUACCCAGGAAAUUGGAUCACUUUAAAAAUGGAAAUUAUUAUGAAUGACAUGUGAAUUUGCUGAAUUAAAACCUAGCAGUUUAUCUUCUGUGGCUGGG